rnacentral:rRNA from 1 species
AACGAACGCUGGCGGCAGGCUUAACACAUGCAAGUCGAACGCCCCGCAAGGGGAGUGGCAGACGGGUGAGUAACGCGUGGGAACAUACCCUUUUCUACGGAAUAGCUCUGGGAAACUGGAAUUAAUACCGUAUACGCCCUACGGGGGAAAGAUUUAUCGGGGAAGGAUUGGCCCGCGUUGGAUUAGCUAGUUGGUGGGGUAAAGGCCUACCAAGGCGACGAUCCAUAGCUGGUCUGAGAGGAUGAUCAGCCACAUUGGGACUGAGACACGGCCCAAACUCCUACGGGAGGCAGCAGUGGGGAAUAUUGGACAAUGGGCGCAAGCCUGAUCUAGCCAUGCCGCGUGAGUGAUGAAGGCCUUAGGGUUGUAAAGCUCUUUCACCGAUGAAGAUAAUGACGGUAGUCGGAGAAGAAGCCCCGGCUAACUUCGUGCCAGCCGCCGCAGUAAAAC